GCUUACGGCCAUACCAGCCUGUGUACGCCCGAUCUCGUCUGAUCUCGGAAGCUAAGCAGGGUCGGGCCUGGUUAGUACUUGGAUGGGAGACCGCCUGGGAAUACCAGGUGCUGUAAGCA
rnacentral:rRNA from 1 species